GUGUAUUAUGGCAUAAACAACACUUUUUGUUAAUUUUUUAUUUUGAAAGAAAACAAACUUUUCCCACCACAUGCUAACCUUGCAUAUGUUUUCCAACAGAAAAUUGUUCUGUCUCAAACUGAUGUUGUGUCAGGCGACUUAGACAUGGAUGGCAGCACUGGGACACCGUAGAUAACAACAAUGGUAAAAUUGGAGUUGUACCGGUAUGGUGAACCUUACUUUGGCUAGACUUGACUCGAGUCCCGUUCUCUUGCGAGAGGUCCCUAAGCAUAUUUGAUAGCACUGGACAGGGAUUUGAGUCAAGUCUAGACUUUGGCUAAUUGCUGUGACCCAAAAUGGUAACCUUUCUUCUAGAUGAUAGUUUUCUUCCAAAAUGCAGAUCAAGUUUUCUUCUUGAAGAUGACGAAGAAGGUUGUUCUAAAAUCUUCGCUGAGCUGAUAUUGAUGUCUAUGAACAGGGACAGUGGUCUUGGAAAUAUUUGUUUCUUGCGCCGUUGUGACUUCAACCGGACCCGCUGCGAUGUGAGUCGGUGAUUGAGGAUACAGGAUGCAAAGAGCAAACAACAGAUCGCUUGAUUUGAGACGAUGACCUUGGAGAUGACAUCCCAAACUUUAGGAUAAUCAACGCUUGGACUGGUACCACCAGCUGAAGGACUGUGUCAAGUCUAGCCAGACGACUCUACAAGUUCAACUGUUGAAGUGACGUAAAGAUAUACGGGCUAGAUUUUGUAACUACAACACUUAAAUGAAGAGUACACUUUUGGUAGUUAUUCCAAAAAUGAAAGACCAUAAAAACCCACUUGGUAAACAAAAGGAGGC